rfam:Echinostoma caproni strain Egypt genome assembly, scaffold: ECPE_scaffold0008847
GGCCUCGUAACUCAGCUGGUAGAGUGUGUGCUGUACAAAAGCGAAGGCGGCGUCCAUGCGUGGGUUUGAAUCCCACCGAGGCUA